rnacentral:rRNA from 1 species
UACGUAGGGUGCAAGCGUUAAUCGGAAUUAUUGGGCGUAGAGCGAGUGCAGACGGUUACUUAAGCCAGAUGUGAAAUCCCCAAGCUUAACUUGGGACGUGCAUUUGGAACUGGGUGACUAGAGUGUGUCAGAGGGAGGUAGAAUUCCACAUGUAGCGGUGGAAUGCGUAGAGAUGUGGAGGAAUACCGAUGGCGAAGGCAGCCUCCUGGGAUAACACUGACGUUGAGGCUCGAAAGCGUGGGGAGCAAACAGGAUUAGAUACCCUGGUAGUCCACGCCCUAAACGAUGACAAUUAGCUGUUGGGCUUUGAAAGGCUUAGUAGCGAAGCUAACGCGAGAAAUUGUCCGCCUGGGGAGUACGGUCGCAAGAUUAAAACUCAAAG